rnacentral:rRNA from 1 species
CUAUGAGGCCUUACGUGCAGUCGAACGGCAGCCUGGUGCUUGUCCUGGUGGCGAGUGGAAACGGGUGACUAAUACAUCGGAACGUACCUUGUAGUGGGGGAUAUCUCGGCCAAAGCCGGAUUCCCCCGCAUACGCUCUGAGGAGGAAAGCGGGGGACCUUCGGGCCUCACGCUACAAGAGCGGCCGAUGUCACAUUAUCUAGUUGGUGAGGUAGGAUCUCACC